AUGCAGUCAUGGCUGAGUCAGACGGUGCUUGGAGCUAUCCAGAGAGAGAGCUAUGGUUUCCAGACAUUCUUUGCGAACCGAAUUGGGGAGAUUCAGAAGGCUGGGCCUGUAACUGACUGGUGGUGGAUACCAGGCGAAGUCAACGUCGCUGAUCUAGUCACGAGAGGGUGCUCUCCUGAACUGCUGGGUGAGAAUUCUAUGUGGCAGAAAGGUCCCGAGUUUCUGUCUAGUCCAGUCGAGGAUUGGCCCAUAAAGUCCGCCUCAGAAGUGGCAGCUGAUGCUAGAGAGGUAGUGAGUAGACUCCAGAGAAAAGCCUUUUCAGCAGUCCUUACCAGAGUUCAAGCCAAGAAAUUAUUAAAUCCUGGCAGUCUUGGUGGUGAAGAUCCAAUAGUCACAGAUGGAGUUAGCGGGACUUCAGUGUCCUCAGAAAAGGGGAUGAAAGUGACCUUAACUGAGACUAAAGAGGGGGAGACUCUGUGGGGAGCCGCGCUCAUAGACCAAGUGGAUCCAACAAGGUGCAGUUCUUUUACUAGACUUUGUGGAAUAGUUGGUUAUGUCCGCAGAGCUGUAAAGAAAUGGUUGGCCCGUGUAGGCAGGGCCUCCAAGCCAGUUAAGUGGGAGGCAGUAUUAACAGUAAAGGAACGCAAGGCCGCAUUCCAAGACCUGUGCUUAGCCGCACAGAAUGGAGUUACGUUUCCUGUGACGACACUAAACAGGCUCGUUGUCAGCAGGGAUGAGGCUUCAGGGCUCCUGAGAUGUCAUGGUAGAUUCCAGGAUUUGACCCAGGAAGAGAUUGGUGUACCUUUGGUUCCCUACAAGGCAUGGAUCAGCACUCUUCUCACGAGAGAGGCCCACGAAGCUAACCACGAGGGGGUUGCUGGCACACACCUCCGUGUGAGAUCUAAAGCAUGGGUGGUAAGGGGUUCAAGGAUUGCCAGAAAUGUCGUUGAUUCUUGUAUUCAUUGUCGGAAGAUCAAAGCGAGAAUGUGUAAACAGGUGAUGGGUGAACUUCCCCUCGAACGAACUAAACCAGCCGCACCAUUCGAGUUUACGACGUUAGACCUUUUCGGUCCCUAUGUUGUUAAAGAUAAUGUAAAACGAAGAACGGAGAUGAAAAUCUGGGGUGUGGUGUUCAGCUGUAUGGCUUCAAGGGCAGUACAUGCUGACAUUGUAGAGGAUCUGUCGACAGAAGGGUUCCUGAAAGCAUACCAGCGCUUCACGGCUCUAAGGGGUCACCCAAGAAAGCUCUGGUCGGACCAAGGGACCAACUUUGUGGGUGCCAGACCAGUAUUACAGGAGCUUUAUGAGUUCCUAAGUAACAUCGACAAGGAUCAGGUCCAAAAGAAAGCGGUAGUUAAAGGAACCGACUGGACGUGGGUGUUUCACCCAGCAGACUCUCCCCAUCGAAAUGGAGCAGCUGAGGCAGCAGUUCGUGUACUCAAGAGGGCAUUAAGUAGUGUUGGCAAGAGAUGUAAUCUGACAGCACUGGAGUUCCAGACCCUUCUUUACCUGGCUGCUAAUCUGUCAAAUGAGAGACCUAUCGGUGCUAGAGCUCAGGUACAAGAUGAGACCGUGGAAGUAAUCACUCCCAACACACUUCUGCUUGGUCGUGCAGGACCCAAGGGGGACUCCCGAGGGUUUGAGUAUCCAACAUACCCCGUUGUGCGUCUGAGAACAAUCCAGAUUGAAGUUGAUAAGUUUUGGAAGCGGUGGAGUCAGCUGGCAGGUCCAAACCUCUACAUUCGCCAGAAGUGGCACGCGCCUGCUAGAAAUGUUGCAGCGGGUGAUCUGGUAUGGUUAGCUGAGAACGCACUGAGGGGCCAGUUCAGGCUGGUUCGAGUCGUGGAGGUGUGUCCUGAUGUGAGGGGUGUAGUACGACAUGUGAGAUUGACAACAUGUCGAAGUUGUCCAGUUUCCGGCAGACAUUCCGAGAUGAACCGAGGUGAGGAGAACUAUCCCUCCACCAUCCUCCACAGGGAUGUUAGGAGGUUAGUGGUUCUGCUUCCAGUGGAGGAGCAGUAAAGGAUCCCCACCAUGGUGCGUUUCGGUAAAGGAUCCCCACCAUGGUGCGUUUCGGUAAAGGAUCCCCACCAUGGUGUGUUUCGGUGAAGGAUCAAGACUUUCCCCGCUACCAUCCUCCUCGAGGCUGGUAGUGUGUUUCGGUAAAGGAGGUCGUAAUAUCAUCAAGAACAAUGUGUGUUGUUUAGACAAUAAAACUACCUUGAGGAUAUAAUUAUUCAUGUUGCAACAUAAUAUGUUCAUAUCUAAGUAUUCAAUGUUAUUUGAAUGGUCAUGGAGAAAAUUUCAUAUCUUAAAGUGGAUUGUUUGGUUAUGGUGGCCUACUUGUAUUCUAGAAUCAGUAGACCAAGUGGGAGGUGUAGAACUUUCCAGCAGGUGUCACUACUGUUUGCGUAUGUAUAUUACAUGUGGUGGAUGUUAUUUUAUAUUCUUGGUUAUUUGAAGAAAUAAGUGUGCAUUUAUCAUCUUAUUCUAAAUGCAGGCAAGUUUAUGUUAUAUUUCAUAUAUGUUAUUAUCUUACUAGGUCGCAGAUAUGUUUUAUUGUUGUUCCUAGUCACCAGAUUGUGUAACUGUAUAUGCGUAGUGAGUGCACAGGCGCCGCCUUAAGUUUCAUUCUGUCGUUGAUCAGGACUGGUACGCUUGCCGGUGAGUGUCUGUAAACUGGCAUUGCUAGUAAUUCAGAUUGAAAAUUAAUAUCUCAUGAUUGUGUAAUUUCAUUAGUUCAUUCUGAUGUUCGUUUGUUUUCAUUGCAGGUUUACAACCUAGCGAUCUAACUGACUAGUUAACCUCACGAGCUAAACGGCACAUAUCUAGCUGUGUAUGUGUAGGCUACUAAAUAAAUGCUCAAAAAGUGGCUCGAGUUGUAUCCGCCGUGCUUGUCCUGAAACCCUUCCAGUGGGGAGUUUAUUGAGCUAUAGCAGGUAGCUUAGUAGAAAACUGGACACUGCCUUAAUGUAACUCAGCAUUAGUGUUCACAGAAGCAAAGCUUCUCUCUCAGUGAGAGAAAGUUGCUACAUUCAGUGUUAAGAGUAAAACUUGCCAACAUGAUAGAUGUUUCUGACUAAUGAAAUUAAAUGUUAUUUGCAAUGCAGAAAGACAGUUUUUAAUGCGUUAGAAGUUCUAUACAGAGAAACUUUUGUUGGAGUGUCAGUGAUCAGCCUUGUCAUUUUACAGCUUCUGUGACCACUUAUGUUGAGUUGGUGCUUCUGGGCAAAUGAUUUGAAAGCAAGCCCACAUAAGCUGCAAAGCUUCUCUUUUAGUGAGAGAAAGUACCUUAAUACAAUGUUAAGAGCAAAACUUGUCAACAUGAAAGAUGUUUCUGACUCCUGAAAUGAAAUGUUAUUUUCAGAGCAGAAAGACAGUUUUUAAUGUGUUAGAAGUUCUUUGCACUGAAACUCAUGUUAGAGGUUCAAUGAACUGCCUUGUCAGUUUCCAUGUUCUGUGAACACUUAUGCUGAGUUGGUGCUUCUGGGCAACUGAAGAGAACGCAAGCCCAAAUAUGCUGCAAAGCUUCUGUCUCAGUGAGAGAAAGUUGCUACAUUCAGUGUUAAGAGUAAAACUUGUUAACAUGAAAGAUGUUUUUGACUCAUGAAAUGUUAUUUGCAAUGCAGAAAGACAGUUUUUAAUGUUUUAGAUGUUCUUUGCACUGAAACUUAUGUUAGAGCUUCAGUGAACUGCCUUAUCAGUUUGCAUAUUCUGUCAUCACUAAUACUGAGUUAAUGCUUCUGUGCAAAUGAAAAGAAAGCAAGUCCAAAUAUGCGGCAAAGCUUCUCUCUCAGUGAGAGAAAGUUGCUACAUUCACUGUUAAGAGUAAAACUUGCCAACAUGAAAGAUGUUUCUGACUCAUUAAAUGAAAUGUUAUUUGCAAUGCAGAAAGACAGUUUGUAAUAUGUUAUAAGUUCUUUGCACUGAAACUCAUGUUAGAGCUACAAUGAACUGCCUUGUCAGUUUGCAUGUUCUGUGAACACUUAUGCUGAGUUGGUGCUUCUGGGCAACUGAAGAGAACGCAAGCCCACAUAUGCUGCAAAGCUUCCGUCUCAGUGAGAGAAAGUUGCUACAUCAGUGUUAAGAGUAAAGCUUGCCAACAUGAAAGAUGUUUCUGACUCAUGAAAUGAAAUGUCAUUUUUCAAUGCAGAAAGACAGUUUUUAAUGUGUUAGAAGUUCUUUGGACUGAAACUCAUGUUAGAGCAUCAAUGAACUGCCUUAAUGUAACUCAGCAUUAGUGUUCACAGAAGCAAAGCUUCUCUCUCAAUGAGUUAAAGUUGCUACAUUCAGUGUAAAGAGUAAAACUUGCCAACAUGAUAGAUGUUUCUGACUCAUGAAAUGAAAUGUUAUUUGCAAUGCAGAAAGACAGUUUUUAAUGUGUUAGAAGUUCUUUGGACUGAAACUUAUGUCAGAGCAUCAAUGAACUGCCUUAAUGUAACUCAGCAUUAGUGUUCACAGAAGCAAAGCUUCUCUCUCAAUGAGUUAAAGUUGCUACAUUCACUGUUAAGAAUAAGACUUGCCAACAUGAAAAAUGUUUCUGACUCAUGAAAUGAAAUGUUAUUUGCAAUGCAAAAGACAUUUUUUAAUGUGUUAGAAGUUCUACACAAAGAAACUUUUGUUAGAGUUUCAGUGAACUGCCUUGGUAGUUUGCAUCUUCUGUGAACAUUUAUGCUGAGUUAGUGCUUCUGGGCAAAUGAAAAGAAAUCAAGUCCACCUAUGCUGCAAAGCCUGUCUCAGUGAGAGGAAGUUGCUACAUUCAAUGUUAGGAGUAAAACUUGUCAACAUAAAAGAUCUUUAUGACUCAUGAAAUGAAAUGUUAUUUGCAAUGCAGAAAGACAGUUUUUAAUGUGUUUAGAAGUUCUUUGCAUUGAAACUUAUGUUAGAGCUUCAGUGAACUCCCUUGUCCUUUGCAUCUUCUGUGAACACUUAUGCUGAUUUAGUGCUUCUGGCCAUAUGAAAAGAAAUCAAGUCCACGUAUGCUGCAAUGAUUCUCUCUCAGUGAGAGAAAGUUGCUUAAUUCAAUGUUAAGAGCAAAACUUGCCAACAUGAAAGAUGUUUCUGACUCAUUAAAUAAAAUGUUAUUUGCAAUGCAGAAAGACAGUUUUUAAUGUGUUAGAAGUUCUUUGCAUUGAAACUUAUGUUAGAGCUUCAGUGAACUGCCCUGCCAGUUUGCAUCUUCUGUGAUAACUUCUGCUGAGUUAGUGCUUCUGGGCAAAUGAAGAGAACGCAGGCCCACAUAAGCUGCAAAUGUUCUCUCUCAGUGAGAGAAAGUUGCUUAAUUCAACGUUAAGAGUAAAACUUGCCAACAUGAAAGAUGUUUAUGACUCAUGAAAUGAAAUGUUAUUUGCAAUGCAGAAAGACAGUUUUUAAUGUGUUAGAAGUUCUUUGCAUUGAAACUUAUGUUAGAGCUUCUGUGAACUGCCUUGUCCGUUUGCAUCUUCUGUGAACACAUGCUGAUUUAGUGCUUCUGGCCAUAUGAAAAGAAAUCAAGUCCACGUAUGCUGCAAUGAUUCUCUCUCAGUGAGAGAAAGUUGCUUAAUUCAAUGUUAAGAGCAAAACUUGCCAACAUGAAAGAUGUUUCUGACUCAUUAAAUAAAAUGCUUUUUUGCAAUGCAGAAAGACAGUUUUUAAUGUGUUAGAAGUUCUUU
ensembl:lncRNA